rnacentral:rRNA from 1 species
GGCUUUAGCGCGGUGGUCCCACCUGACCCCAUGCCGAACUCAGAAGUGAAACGCCGUAGCGCCGAUGGUAGUGUGGGGUCUCCCCAUGCGAGAGUAGGGAACU